GACGAACGCUGGCGGCGUGCUUAACACAUGCAAGUCGAACGCUGAAGCUCAGCUUUUGUUGGGUGGAUGAGUGGCGAACGGGUGAGUAACACGUGAGUAACCUGCCCCCUUCUUUGGGAUAACGCCCGGAAACGGGUGCUAAUACUGGAUAUUCACUGGUCUUCGCAUGGGGGUUGGUGGAAAGGGUUUUUCUGGUGGGGGAUGGGCUCGCGGCCUAUCAGCUUGUUGGUGGGGUGAUGGCCUACCAAGGCUUUGACGGGUAGCCGGCCUGCGAGGGUGACCGGUCACAUUGGGACUGAGAUACGGCCCAGACUCCUACGGGAGGCAGCAGUGGGGAAUAUUGCACAAUGGGCGCAAGCCUGAUGCAGCGACGCCGCGUGAGGGAUGGAGGCCUUCGGGUUGUGAACCUCUUUCGCUCAUGGUCAAGCCGCAACAAUGGUUGUGGUGAGGGUAGUGGGUAAAGAAGCGCCGGCUAACUACGUG
rnacentral:rRNA from 1 species